GACGAACGCUGGCGGCGUGCUUAACACAUGCCAGUCGAACGGAAAGGCCCUGCUUUUGUGGGGUGCUCGAGUGGCGAACGGGUGAGUAACACGUGAGUAACCUGCCCUUGACUUUGGGAUAACUUCAGGAAACUGGGGCUAAUACCGGAUAGGAGCUCCUGCUGCAUGGUUGGGGUUGGAAAGUUUCGGCGGUUGGGGAUGGACUCGCGGCUUAUCAGCUUGUUGGUGGGGUAGUGGCUUACCAAGGCUUUGACGGGUAGCCGGCCUGAGAGGGUGACCGGCCACAUUGGGACUGAGAUACGGCCCAGACUCCUACGGGAGGCAGCAGUGGGGAAUAUUGCACAAUGGGCGGAAGCCUGAUGCAGCAACGCCGCGUGCGGGAUGACGGCCUUCGGGUUGUAAACCGCUUUCGCCUGUGACGAAGCGUGAGUGACGGUAAUGGGUAAAGAAGCACCGGCUAACUACGUG
rnacentral:rRNA from 1 species